AGAGUUUGAUCAUGGCUCAGGACGAACGCUGGCGGCGUGCUUAACACAUGCAAGUCGAACGAUGAACCACUUCGGUGGGGAUUAGUGGCGAACGGGUGAGUAACACGUGGGCAAUCUGCCCUGCACUCUGGGACAAGCCCUGGAAACGGGGUCUAAUACCGGAUAAUACUCCCGCACUCAUGUGUGGGGGUUAAAAGCUCCGGCGGUGCAGGAUGAGCCCGCGGCCUAUCAGCUUGUUGGUGAGGUAAUGGCUCACCAAGGCGACGACGGGUAGCCGGCCUGAGAGGGCGACCGGCCACACUGGGACUGAGACACGGCCCAGACUCCUACGGGAGGCAGCAGUGGGGAAUAUUGCACAAUGGGCGAAAGCCUGAUGCAGCGACGCCGCGUGAGGGAUGACGGCCUUCGGGUUGUAAACCUCUUUCAGCAGGGAAGAAGCGCAAGUGACGGUACCUGCAGAAGAAGCGCCGGCUAACUACGUGCCAGCAGCCGCGGUAAUACGUAGGGCGCAAGCGUUGUCCGGAAUUAUUGGGCGUAAAGAGCUCGUAGGCGGCUUGUCACGUCGGGUGUGAAAGCCCGGGGCUUAACCCCGGGUCUGCAUUCGAUACGGGCUAGCUAGAGUGUGGUAGGGGAGAUCGGAAUUCCUGGUGUAGCGGUGAAAUGCGCAGAUAUCAGGAGGAACACCGGUGGCGAAGGCGGAUCUCUGGGCCAUUACUGACGCUGAGGAGCGAAAGCGUGGGGAGCGAACAGGAUUAGAUACCCUAGUAGUCC
rnacentral:rRNA from 1 species